AAAAAUCAAAACUGAGUUAUUUUAAAGGCAAUAUUAAAGCUCCAGUAUGUAAUAUUGGUAUUAAAUAAAGAAAUAAUGAUGCUUAUGAUUAAUUAUAUUUCAUUCAUGCAUAAAAAAAAAACUAAAUAUUUUGCUAGAAGUCCAUUUAACUGUCAAAAUGUUAUACUGUGGGAUGAAAAGGUUUUUUUAAGUGCCUCCCCCCAAACCCCUACCAAAUAGACUGAGCUCUUAGUUAACUGUGAAUUUAAACCAGUCCAAUAAGGGAAGAAACACUUGUUCUUAGCAAUGGAUCUAUAUUGUUUUGGAUCUAUAUUGUUCAAUUAGACCAGUUCAGUAAGCAUGAAAUAUUUGUUAUUAACAAUGGAUCUGUAUUGCAUUUAAGUUCAAUUAGACCAGUUCAGUAAGCGUGAAAUAUUUGUGUAUUAACAAUGAAUCUGUACUGAAUUUGCUCCUCUACUUUUUCAAUUUCUGCCAGAUGUUUGGAAUCCUCUGGUUUUAUUCAGGUUUUAACAUUAAAAACAUUUGCCCAAUAACCCCUACUGUUUUUUUCAUAUUUUUAUUACAUAUUAUUUAAAAAGUCAUGUUUCAAAAUCUUAUGAAAUCCUUGUUACUUUUUCAUAGUUAUUAAAAUGAAUAAAAGGUGCCAAUGUUAAGUGUAAGAAAAAUCUAGAGAGAAUUAUUUCCCGCCAAAUUUUCAACAACUUAUAUCUCGAAAACAAGCACAGGGUCUGUGUGCUUGUUUCAUUUUUUUCUGCUUUUUUAGUUUUCUUUAUUUAUAUACUUUCAAUUUAUAACAGUCUUUAAAAAAUCUUGUUAUUUUUAAACAGAGUAGCGAACAUCCUUAAGUUCAAUUAGACCAGUUCAGUAAGGAAAGAAAUAUUUGUUCUAAGCAAGCCAUCUAUAAUGCACUAAAGUGUAACAAUCAAG
rnacentral:lncRNA from 1 species